UACGGAGGGUGCAAGCGUUGUUCGGAAUUAUUGGGCGUAAAGGGUGCGUAGGCGGCUUGUUAAGUCCGGGGUGAAAGCCCACAGCUCAACUGUGGAACUGCCUUGGAUACUGGCAAGCUUGAGUCCAGACGAGGUUGGCGGAAUGGAAGGUGUAGCGGUGAAAUGCAUAGAUACCUUCCAGAACCCCGAUUGCGUAGGCAGCUGACUAGGCUGGUACUGACGCUGAGGCACGAGAGCGUGGGGAGCGAACAGG
rnacentral:rRNA from 1 species